rnacentral:rRNA from 1 species
GAUGAACGCUGGCGGCGUGCCUAAUACAUGCAAGUCGAGCGAACGGACGAGAAGCUUGCUUCCCUGAUGUUAGCGGCGGACGGGUGAGUAACACGUGGAUAACCUACCUAUAAGACUGGGAUAACUUCGGGAAACCGGAGCUAAUACCGGAUGAUAUUUUGAACCGCAUGGUUCAAAAGUGAAAGACGGUCUUGCUGUCACUUAUAGAUGGAUCCGCGCUGCAUUAGCUAGUUGGUAAGGUAACGGCUUACCAAGGCAACGAUGCAUAGCCGACCUGAGAGGGUGAUCGGCCACACUGGAACUGAGACACGGUCCAGACUCCUACGGGAGGCAGCAGUAGGGAAUCUUCCGCAAUGGGCGGAAGCCUGACGGAGCAACGCCGCGUGAGUGAUGAAGGUCUUCGGAUCGUAAAACUCUGUUAUUAGGGAAGAACAUAUGUGUAAGUAACUGUGCACAUCUUGACGGUACCUAAUCAGAAAGCCACGGCUAACUACGUG